rnacentral:rRNA from 1 species
UACGUAGGGUGCAAGCGUUUAAUCGGAAUUACUGGGCGUAAAGCGUGCGCAGGCGGUUAUGUAAGACAGAUGUGAAAUGCCCGGGCUUAACCUGGGAACUGCAUUUGUGACUGCAUGGCUAGAGUUUGGCAGAGGGGGGUAGAAUUCCACGUGUAGCAGUGAAAUGCGCAGAUAUCAGGAGGAACACCGGUGGCGAAGGCGGGUCUCUGGGCCGAUACUGACGCUGGAGGAGCGAAAGCGUGGGGAGCAAACAGG